AAUCCACCUAUCCUCACUGUAUUAAAACAGUCCUGGGGGCAGUUAAUGUGUUUAAUGUCACACCUGUCCUUAGGUCAAUAUGGAACCCACUCAUCCACACUUUGCAUUAAAACAGGGUCCUUGGGGCAGUUGAUGUGCUUAAAAGUAACUGCUGUCCUUAUGUUAAGGUAGAACUCACAUGUCCUCAUUUUGCAUUUAAACAGUCCUAGAGGCAGGUGUUGUACUUAAAUGCCACUAGUGUACCCUAUGCCACUAUAGAACCCAUAUUCACUUUGUGAUUUAAAACAAGAGUCCUUGGGGCAGUUAAUGUGCAUCAAUGCCACUAAAGACCCCAUAUCACUCUAGAACCCAUCUAUCCUCACUUUGCCUUAAAACAGGGGGUCCUUGGAGCAGUUAAUGUGCUUAAAUGCCAGUACUGUUCUUAAGUCACUAUAAAACCCAAAAUUACUUUGUUUUUGAUUUAAAACAGAGUGCUUGGGGCAAUUAAUGUGUUUAAAUGCAUCUAUUGCCAUUAUGUUAAUGCGAAACCCACCCAUCCUUUGCAUUAAAACAAUUUCUGGGGCAGGAAAUGUGCUUAAAAUGCCUCUACUGCCCUUACCUUACUCUGCAACCCGCCCAUCCUCACUUGGCCUUAAAAGAGGGUACUUGGUGCAGUUAAUGCUUCAAUGCAGCUACUUUGCUUAUGUCACUCUAGAACCCAAAUAUACUCAUUUUGCAUUAAAACGGGGUCCUUGGGGCAGUUAAUGUGCUUAAAUGCCACUAGUGCCUCUUAGUGUGGAACCCACUCAUUCUCACUUUGCACUAAAACAGUCCUGGGGCGGUUAAUGUGCUUAAAUGCCACUACUGUCCUUAUCUUAUUUUGCAACCCACCCAACCUCAUUUUGAAUUGAAACAGGGGUCCUUGGAGCAGUUAAUGUGCAUAAAGGCCACUAGUGUCACUAUGGAACCUAUAUUUGUUUUGAUUUUGAUUUAAAACAGAGACCUUGGGGCACUUAAUGUGCUUCAAUGGCACUAACAUCCCUAUGUCACUAUAGAACCCACCCAACCUCACUUUGCAUUAAAACGGGGUCCUUGGGGCAGUUAAUGUGCAUAAAUGCCAGUACUGUUCUUAUGUCACUAUAGAACCCAGACUCACUUUGAUUUUGAUUUAAAACAGAGUCUUGGGGGCACUUAAUUUGCCUCAAUGCCACUACUGCUCUUAAGUUAAGGUGGAAUCCACCCAUCCUAAAAUUGCAUUAAAGCAGAGGGUCUUCAGGCCAGUUAAUGUGUUCAAGUUAUGCCAUUACUACUUUUUAGUGUGGAACCCACCCAUCGUACUUUGCAUUAAAACACUCCCUGGGGCAGGAAAUGUGCCUACGUGCCACUACUGUCCUUAUCUUACUUUGCAACCCACCCAUCCUCACUUUGAAUUAAAACAGAGGGUUACUUGCGUAGUUAAUGCGCUUAAGUGCAACCACUGUGCUAUGUCACUGUAGGACCCAUAUAUCCUCACUUUGCAUUGAAACAGGGGGUCCUUGGACCAGUUAAUGUCAUAAAUUGUACUGCUGUCCUUAUGUUACUAUACAACCUAUUAUCAUAUUGAUUUUGAUUUAAAACCGAGUCCUUUGGGCAGUUAAUGUGCCUGAGUGCCACUACUGUUCUUAUGUCAUUAUAGAACUCAUACUCAUUUUGAUUUUGAUUUAAAAGAGUUCUUGGGGCAGUUAAUAUACUUAAAUGCCACUACUGUCCUUAUCUUACUUUGCAACCCGCCCAUCCUCACUUGGCCUUAAAAGAGGGUACUUGGUGCAGUUAAUGCUUCAAUGUAGCCACUGUGCUUAUGUCACUCUAGAACCCAAAUAUACUCAUUUUGCAUUAAAACGGGGUCCUUGGGGCAGUUAAUGUGCUUAAAUGCCACUAGUGCCUCUUAGUGUGGAACCCACUCAUUCUCUACACUAAAACAGUCCUGGGGCAGUUAAUGUGCAUAAAUGCCACUAGUGUCCCUAUGUCAUUAUGGAACUCAUAUUUGCUUUGAUUUUGAUUUAAAACAGAGACCUUGAGGCAGUUAAUAUGCUUCAAUGCCACUAAUGUUCCCAUGUCACUAUAGAACCCACCCAUUCUCACUUUGCAUUAAAACGUGGUUCUUGGGGCAGUUAAUGUGCUUCAAUGGCACUAACGUCCCCAUGUCACUAUAGAACCCAUACUCAACUUUGAGUUUGAAUAAAAACAGAGUGCUUGUGACACUUAAUGUUAAGGUGGAACCCACUCAUCCUAACUGCAGUAAAGCAGAGGGUCUUUGGGGCAGUUGGGUGCUUAAAUGCCACUAUAGAACCCAUCUGUCUUCACUUCGUAUUAAAACUGAAGGACCUUGUGACUGUUACUCUGGUCACUUGUUUCCUUCCAUCCCUCUGCAUUGCCUGGGAGCAGAUAUGUUAUUGAAAUGUGCUUAUUUGCAUGGUGUGGCACCUUCUUUUUGUCUCUUUCUAUUUCCCCCCACUCCCUUUGCAGUAUAGCAGAGGAUACUUGGGCCUGUUAAUGGGCUUAAUUAUAGAAUCCCAUGCACUCCCAGGCAGUUUACAUUUACUAGACAUAUAUUUGGUUCUGUGAAAUUGCCUAAUUGCAGCAGUGGUCCCUUUUGUCUAUGUUCCCAUCUACCUCCUAGCCCUUUUAAAAUGCCUGGAUGGGCAUUUGGCACUGUCAGUGUGCUCAAUUGAAGUUGUGGUCCAUUCUGUAAUUCCAGGAUCACAUCCUGCCUUUUCCCUUUUCGUUACCUAGGAGCGUUUUUUGGAACUGUUAAAAGUAGUCACUUGGAGCUACAGUUCCUUCUGUUAGUCUAAGAUCCCAUCCCCCCUCUUCCCCAUCUCACUUGGCAUUACAACAGCGGAUAUUUGGGACUGUUAAUGUGCUUAAAAGCAGCUAUAGUCCCUUUCUGGAGUCUGGGAUCCAUCCAGGCCCUUGAAUAUCUUUUGCAUUACCAUAGAAAGUACUUGGGCCUGCAAUUGUGGUCCCUUUUGUUAGUUUAGAAACAUAAUGACUUUUCACUUUCUUAACAUCAUCUGGAAGUCAUUGUAGAGAUAAAGUUCUAAUUGUAACUGUAGCCCCUUUUGUCAAUCUAAUCCCUUUUCUCCUACCUCAUAUGCAUUACAACAUAGGGUUCUUGGAACUGUGAAGGUGUGUCACAUCUAUUAAAUUUUACAAAAGAGGAUCUGAACACUGAAACUCCUCCUUUUGCACCAUUUAUGAGGAAUAUUGCUUUUAUCCUCUCUCCUCUGCAGUAGAUACAGGCCUCACUCAUUUUCCUUACAUUUAGUAGUGGAUGCCCUUUACUAAGGACUUUUGUACUAAUAUAGUUAAAAGUGAGUCAUAAGUAGUUGACCACAAUUAUAUCUUUUAUGAAAGAUCCAUGUACCCUCUUCAGUUUACAAUAAGGUGUAUUAAUUAACUUGUUACUAUUUUUUUUUUCUGGGAUUGUUUAUGUGCAGAAUUCCAGUAUUUAUGGUCACUCCCUUUAAACUAAUAUCCCACUGUUUCUAUAUUAUAACAGGGGAUGCUAGAGACUGAAAGUUAUUCUCUUGAGACUUUUAAUGUCCAUGUUCUUUCCCGAUAAGCUAAUAUCCUGAUUUCUUAGUAUUGUAGCUGGGGUACUAGCUACCUAAAGUCUUCUCGAUAAUAAAAGUGGAAAAUUGUAGUUGUGUCUCAUCCUCACCAUAUUUCCUUUGCACCAGGGAAGCUGACCAAUUAUGGCUGCUUCUCUUGUACAGUUUAAAUGUGCAUAAUUACAGUAAUCCAUGCUCCCUUAUAGGAUCCCAUUUCCUUGCCCCAAGAUUCACUCUCCUGGACUGUUAAUGUGCAUAAUUACAUUUGCUCCUGUACCUGUACACCAGGUCAGGCAUCUCCCCCAUCAUAUUUAUAUUCUAGCAGGAGGUGCCUACUACUAAAAGACCUCACUGAUGCAGUUAAUGUACACAACUUUUAUCUUGUACACACUCUCAGUAGUCCAUAAUUGUGCAUUUUCAAUCUCUUGCACUUGUGGAAGCAGAGGUUACUGACCUAAAAGCCCUCUCUUAGGGGACUGUGGAUAUGUUUAAUUAGUUGUCCAUAAUCCUUCGAAUUAACUUGGGUUCUGACUCUUCAUACCCUCUUUGCGUGGAGUAAUGUCCACUUAAGCCCCUUUCUUGAAAUAUUAAUGUGUAUAAUAAUUAUUUUAAAAUCCUUUCUCUUUUUACUACCUUUGAAGUACCACUGGCAUUCUGACUCUGAAGGGCCCACUUCUUAGCCUAUUAAUGUGAUUGUGGUUGUCUGGGUUCCUCUGUACUACACAACACCUCCUUUCCCUAUUCCCUUUCAGCAUUGAGUGCCCUCUCCACAAGGCUGUUAACACCUGGACAGUCAAGGUGUGAAAUUAUAGUUGAUUACAGCCUUACACUUGGGACAUUAAUGUGUAUAAUUGCACAUGGCUCAUCCCAUUUUAAUAAGAUCAUAUAUCCUCUCAGAUCCCUAUUACAGUAUAGCAAGGAUACUGAUCACAUGAAAAGGUCUCUUUUCAUGGCUUAUUGUACAUAAUUGCAUUUACACUAGAUAAGGACACCCCUCUUCUUAUUCCCUUAGCCUUUUAGCAAGGAGUGCCCACUACUUUAAGAUUUUUUAUAUUGGUACAAGGUACAAGGUUUUAAUUAGCUACAUCAUAUCCUUUGGACAUUAAUGUACAUAAUUUCAACUUGGUUCAUCCUACCCUAUUGCCCUCUGUUGGCAGUAUACCAUAGUUGCUGAACCCUAAGUCCCCUUUUCUUGGCCUGUUAAUGUGUAUAAUUCUAUUUGUCUGGGUUCUUGUUCACUAGACAAGGACAAUGAAACACCACAUACCCCAAACUCCCUCUGCCUUCUAGUAGGUAGUACCGACUAUCAAGACCUUUACAUUUGGACAGUUAAUGUGCAGAAUUGCUGUUUUCCAUAGCCCUAUCACUUCCAGGACUGUAUUGUAUCUCCUUUGCACUACUGCAGGGGAUACUGUUUUUUCUCCAAGGCCCCUUCUAGUGGAUUGGUACUAUACAUAUUGAAAUUAUCUGUUGUCUUCAUCAGUAGACACCCCGUGGCGCCCCCCUCCCCCCUUCCCUUUGCAGUACAGCAGAGUGCUGAUCAAUCAAAGCCCUCAUUUGGACUGUUAAUAUCUGCAGUUACAUUUUCUCCUGUUCUCCGCACUAGAUAAGCACACCACCUACUUCCUUAACAUUUUCAUCAGACAGUGCCCACUACUCAAAAGAUUUGUUCACUUGAAAGUUUCAUGUGCACCAAUGUAAGUUUGAAAGUAAGUCUUAUAUCAGACUGGCUGUACCCUCCUUGCUUUAGAGCAAGGAGAUGCUAUUCAAUGGGUCCCUCUCCCCUUUAUACUUUAAUGUACAUAACUGCAAUUGUCUUUGCUUCUGUAGGAGUAGGAUUGCAUCUCCUCAUUCCCCCUUUGUAUUAGGGGCAUAUUAACUAUGAAUGAGUUCUUCUAUUGAGAUUAUUAAUGUGCAUAAUUAAUUGUAUUUGUCCGUGGGCCUAUGCAGUAGGAAAGGUGCUGUGCUCUAUGCCCUUACCACUGCCUUUGAAUUACUGCUGAAGAACGCCAUGACCUCAGCUCUUCUGAUUAGAUGGGAUUCCAUACUUUCUUUGUAUACAUCAUGUAUGCCCUCUUCUGUUAGAAUAGGAUGCCAUUCUAUUAUACCCCCUUUACAUUACUGCAGCGGCUGCUGACCACACAAAACCUCUGCAAAUAGACACAAUGGCAAAUUAGCAAUGGUUUUGUCCUCCCUGAUCUUAUUAGGCAAGUACUCCCAGCCCCAAUUUCUCAUGGCAUUAUAAAGUAUAAACAUUUCAGUAUGCCCUUCAAAUAACAACCCAUAUUCCCACUCCUUUUGCAAUGCUCCAGGGCAUACAUUUUCCAAGUAGUCCUGGUCCUACCCUUAUCUCCCCUCUCCUUACCUCAUGCUUGUCCUUGGACCCUUCCGUGGACCAUUCAUAAUCACAAUUUCAAGGUCGCCAUGUUCCAGCCGUCAGAUAGCAUUGUGGUCUCUCAUCCUUCCUGCCCCAGCCCUGCUUUACCCCGCCCUUUUGCAUUGCUGGUGGGGAAUGUUGAUUGGGCAAGGCCCUUUCACUUGGAUUUAAAUGUUAACAAUCCCAGAUGUCAUUGGUUUAUCCAGUUUAUAUUGCUGUGGUGCUUCAGUUGCACUUUACAUAGCCCUGCCCCUCUGACAUGGACCCCUCCAUUUCUCUUUUUGCAUUGCUUUUAAGUAAUGAUGACUACCCUAAGGCCCUUCUGUGUUUUUACUUAACACAGUACUGAUUGUCCCAUUUUUCAACCCAUCAACUCAAGACCUCCCUACCACUUUGAUGUUGUAUUUGUGCAGUGUUGAUUACCAAAAGCAGGCCUGAACUAGGUGGAUGGACCUUCACUCAUUUUCUUGUAUUUGUUAAUAAUCCGAAUUCCAAUUGUCCUAUUCUUGGGACAGGAGUUAUCUCUGCCCACCUGUGUUACUGCUUUACUGGGCAAAGUGGUCAAGGCAAGGCAAGCCCAAGGAGCUGGAUUGCCACCCUUUACAUUCUGGAUUUUCAAUAUAUACUAUAUAAGUCUCAGUUGGGAGUUGUCUCACCAGGAAGGAACGUUAGCACUAUCUGCAUUUUUCCUUCCAAAGCAGGUUGCCUGGCUGAUAAUUUCUCCUCUUUGUAUAUUGCUAUUCUACAGAGUCAAUUGCCAGGAUACAACCAAAAGUUAUGGCUAAUUUUUAUUUAAAAAGACAACUGAAUUCCAAGGUGGAAUUGAUAAACUGGGCAUUAAAAUUUUGAAGUUAAAACCCCAUUUAUACCAUGUACCUGAUGACCAGUGUCUCUCAUUUUACUAAGGGUGGUGGGUCUGUGGAUAGACCACUGUGACUCUUGUUAUUCCAAAGGAGUUCUAGAAUGGAACUCAAGACCAACAUCUUUGAGCUCUACCACCAUUCUAAAACCAUGCUGUUUGGGUUUUACCACCAUUCACUUUUAGAAAAACUACCUAAAUUUCCUAACCCUUAAAUUUCUUCAUCUGGAAUACCAACCAGCCCCUACUUAUUUCAAGAAGAUAACUGUAAAAGGAUGAAAUUAGACAACAUAUACUGAGGUGCUUUUAAAAACCACAGAUCACCUUAUUUGAUUAAUCUAUUACAUACUGAGGACUUAAAAAUGAUGGAACCUGUUUCCCUGUUUUAUAUAAAAAGAAUAGUAAGCUAGCCAUUCUUCUGUAUAUAAACUUGUUUGACAGUGACCUGCCUGGUAAAAACGAUUAGCUUAGCCUCUAGUGUACAGGUUUUGAUGGCAGAGAAGUAUUUAAUAAGGAACUUCUGAAGCAAAUAACUAGUCAUUACAAUAGCAGUUCUUUGUAAUCACUGCAAAAGAAUACUAUUCCUCUGAGAAGGAUGUCAAAAGGUCAGCCCAGGUCAGAGUGCAGUUUGUACUUCUAGCUCCUUGGACAGCUGUAAGAAGAGUCUCUGGCUCUUUAGAAUUCUGGAUGAAUUCUGAGCCAGUUCUGAAGCACUACUUAGGAAUGAUGGUCAGUUGUAGGUGGAUUGAAGCCUGCACUAGAAAACAUCUAAAGAUCUUCCUCAGAAGAACAGGCUUGUUGCUUUACAGUGUCAGUGACCUAUUCCCUUUGACGAUCCCUAGGUGGAGAUGGGGCAUGAGGAUCCUCCAGGGGAAUAGCUCACUACCACUGGGCAACAACCCUAGGCCAGGAGGUUUUACCAAGAAUCUUUCCUGGGCCCAGAUAGGAAGGUGAAGUCUCAAGACAUCCUCCACACAUCAGAGUAUCUACCAAAUUGUUCAUCCUUCUGAAAAACAAUCCAGAGAACAAGAAAUCUGAACACACCAAAGGAAGAUCAACAUGCCUGGCACUCUAGCAUUUUAGAAUAGCAGAAUAAAUGUGUAUUUCCUUGCUUAUCUAUUUCUUCCUUGAAUGUCUUUGGUCUUUGUUCUCUCAAGUGUCUUACUCAAUUCUAUAAUCAUCUUGCUUAUUUCUUCUGUGUAUCUUUGUCUCGUUUUCCUUUUUGUUCUUAAAAGUUGUUUGUGCCUUGUCUUAAAUGUCUCUCAUUUUUUCAUUUUGUUAUUGUCUUUAUUCUCCUAGCUCUUUUCUUUCACUGUUCUUCCCAUUGUCUCUGAGUCAUGCUGAAUGCUUUUUGCUCAUUUCUUGUCUUAUCCACCUCUUUCCCCCCUUGAUUGUUCAUCAUUCUCUCCUAUUUUGUGAACUCUUGAUUGUUUGUCAUUCUCUCCUAUUUUGUUAGUUUGACAUUACCUCUUUCUGGUUCUGGCCUCCUUUCUGCUGUUUCUACUCUUCAUCUUGGAUUUCUCUCUUCUGUAUGUCUUUUCUGCCUCUCUUGGGCCAUGUUUGUUUCCUGCUCUAUGUGUUUCUUUGUUCUUUGUGUCUUUCCAUUUCACCUUUCUUCUCUCUGUUCUCUUGCUUUUUCCAUCAACCCACCUUUGGGUAUUUCAGCCUCUUCAUGAGCCUGUGUAUCCUGCAAUCCUCUCUCCGUGCAUAUUUUUUGUAUAUGUCUCUGUGUGUGGACCCAUGUGUGUAUGUUUGUGGCAAAGGGGCUUCGUAACCCCUUCCCAAUAGGUGCAGAGUGUCUGCAGCUGUUCCUUAUGCCAGGCUGUCCUGUGAGAUAAUUCAAAACUAGUAGAAGGCCCAAGGAUCCAAAGACCUAAGAUGUGCAGAAGGUGGAAGGCUCAUAAUGGAUAUAAUUCCCAACACAGAAGACAGAAUUGAGACCUGUGGACUAAAGUAUAAAGCCUGUGUCCCAAGAUAGAUGGAAACCUCAGCCUCGAGAGCAUUAGAAGCCUUAGAUCCAUUAUGUACAUAAAGAAGGUGGCCCUUGUCAAACUGAGUUGGAUGGAAGUUCUCAUGUCUUGAGUUAGACAAAAGACUGAAGACCCAAGAUAAAAGAACAAAGCCUGUGAGUGGGGAUACAUGGAAAGCCUGAGACUUGAGUCACAAGACCCAAGAUAAAAAAAAAACUUAGCUUGAACACAGAAGACUCAAGGAUAGGAGGUAUCACACCCUCAUAAAGACCCAGGAGUCAAGCCUCUCUAUGUGGUCUUGAAGACUCAAAAGAGACAGAUAUCUUAAGACUAUGGGACCCUAAACCUCAGCUCUAUUCUGCUAUCCUCCCUACACUUGGACAUUUUCAGUUCUUCCUUUCCAGUUUUUAUACCUCCAUUUAUGCCCACUAAUUUUGUGAUAUCCUUUUUGAUGUUGUAUUACCUUAAAGAGAUAUCUUGAGAUUGGCAAUAUUAUGCCUGGACCAUUGUAAGGUUGUUUUUAUUAUAGUUUUGAGUCAUUUAUUAAGUUUGAGGUAUUUUUUUAAACUUCUUUCUUUCUUUCUUUUUUUCAUCUCCACUCUGUUUGAGAGACAUAUUAGUGAAUUGUAUUUCAGUCCUCCCUUUUCCUCAGAAGCUCUAGUCUGAUGAGAAGAGGAAAAUGUUAGGCCAUGUAGAGAAAAUGUGAAGAGAUGCUCUAGGCCAAUAUGAAUAUUUAGAUAGAAAAUACACAGAUGUGCUGGCCUGCUGAGAAGUACCAGCCAGUAACAUCUGAUUUCUUUGAGCUUAGAUGAACAAGAUUCCUGGAUUUUGGGAUUCCUAGUGAUGGUUAGUAAAAAGAAGAGUAGUUCUGGAACAGAGUGAUACUCCAAGGAGACAGCCUGAACUCCCUGCUCAUAGUAGUGGCCUAAUAAUUUGAUAGACUGAACCAACCCUGCCCUAAGCUUUAAUAUCAACCUCUGGGCUUAAAGGUGACAGAAUUUGGAAGCAGUUAGGUUUAAAUUUUCCUUGAUUUUCUCCCCCUUAUCAUGAGGAAAAAGAAUUUAAAUAAUUGAGAUAUAUAUGAAAAUAAGGUGUUUUUAUUAAUAGUGUAUUGCCAGCUAUGUACAUUGAAGGAUUUUGUACAUCAGGGAUCAUCACACUCUUUCUGUAAAGGGUGAAAUGGUAAAUAUUUUAGUCUUUGCAGGCCUAUGGUCUCUACAUUCGCUUCUUCUCCCCACCCCUAAUCCUUUAAAAAGGAAAAGUAUUCUUAUCUCAUUAGCCAAGUGAAUUUGUUCUGUGGGCCAUAGUUACCACUGAUGUAAAUGCUGAAUAAUAUUAAUUUCCUUGUGUGAGUCUGUCCCUGUUAUAGGCACUAAGGACUCAAUGAUUAUUUAUCAUCACAUCCAGGUGACCUAAAUAAAAAUAUGUGAAUAUGCUUUUAAACUAUGAAAGUGUUUAAAGACUUAUAAGUUUCAAAGCUGGUAAAUAUUGAUUAUAUAUCAACAGUAUGUAAUACUAUGCAGAUAUUAGAAAUUAAGUUAUUGACCAAUGAAAGUUUCAUAUAUUUAUAGUUAUCGUGUUUCUGCUGCUUUGAUGAUUUUGAGUAAAUACAGUAUUUUUAAGUAGCAGAAAAGAAAACACAUAGAAACUGCUUUUAAACUGUAAAAUAUACAGCAAACACAAGGGAUUAAGCUAUUUUGAUGACUUACAAUGGGCCAUAUAACAUGCUAGACACUAUGGAUAACAGAAAAAAACAAUAUAGAAGUAAAAUUUUCAGAUAAGAAAUACAUUUUAAAGUGGUUUGUAAACUAAAGCACUAAAUAUCAAUGGGCUAAAUGUUAUGAAUGAAUGAAUUAAUAUUAACUGCCUUUUAUAUGCCAACUAUUUUGGGUUCUGUGAAAUCUAAGGUAAUACUCCCCAAGUAAUAAGAGGGAGGUUUUUAUUAUAAGGAAAUUAAAUAAUGCUUAUUUUAACCAAUCAGAUAAGACUUUACUGAUAAUAUCAGGUUAUAUUACCUGAUAACAGGAAAAUGUAAUGAAUGACAUUGAGCUUUCUAAACUAUAAAGUGCUGUAUAAAUAUGACAUUAGGCAUUUUCUCUGUGAAUAAAACUUUUCGUGAGAUAAACAUUGUCUAUAAAAUUCACCCACUAUGAAAGAGGUAGUAUAAAUAGUUAUAUAAACUUGAGGUUUUGAAUAGUUGUUAAAUGAAAGAAUAUCAGUUGCCUACUACGUGAACUCACUGUUACAGGCACUAAAGAGAUACACAUUUAUAAUUUUAUUGUGCCUACAGUUUAGAAUAAGGCAAUACAUGUUAGUAUUUUGUGAACUCUAAAGCACCAUAUAAAUGUCACUGUUGAUUUUUCUCACUUGGUGCAAAAUACAAUAAAAAUUUGAAGUAUUAACUAUUGAAUACUCUGAAUAUAAUAUGUAAAAGAUUAAGUUUAUGAUGAAUGCAAGACUGGAUAAUAAUUGUCUACUAUGUUCCAGUCUUUUUGCUAAGCAUCGAGGACCGAAAACAUCUUUAUUCUGUCCUUAAUAGCUGAACAUAAUAUAUGAAAUCAAUUUAUAAAUCUUGAACUGCCAUAUAUAUAUAAGCAAUAUCUGUUGUAUGAAUAUUGAUUAUUCUCAUCCCCAGAGAUAACAACUAGUGAUGCAAAAAUUUAUCACCCUUAUUAUUGAACCAGUAACAGAGAUCUAUGUGUAAAUUUAGAAAUCCUAGUGUUCUAUAUGGAUAUAAAGAAUAAACUGUUGGCUUAAUGAAUGAUGAAUGAUUAUUUUUUAUGAGGCUUAAAACUACACAUGCCCUAAUAUAUAAAUAUGAUUUCAUCCUUAUGGGAUGCUAAUAGAAGGAAAUAAUGUAAUAGGUAUUAGCUCCAGACGAAAACGUGCUUAACUACUGCUAGGCUUAUUUAAUGAUAAAAACAUCAGGAAAAUAGAACUGUGCAAAGCAGUAUGCUAAAUGCUGAGCUACAUGGAAAAAUACAAUUCAGACCAGAAAGCUACUUGUUCCCUUGUCUAACUGAAGAGAUGGAUUUUUUUUUUUUUUUAAAGCAAGGUGUUAUUGUUCUCCAUCAGUUUUUUAAAUGCUGAAUGCUAAAGAUGGAGGUGAAUGAGAUCCAUCUUGGCCUGUCUUAAAGACAUUUAAGAAGUAAAAAUAAAUGGCUCAGCAGUGCUUUUAGAUUUCAUUUGAUAAGCAUAGUAUAUUUUAUGUGCAAUAAAUUAUUCUAGGUCCUGAGCAUAAGAGCAGUGAAAUGGGCCUAGUCUAAAGGUCUUUAGAUUGAACACAGAUCAUAGCUGCAGAUCUGAAAACAUCUUUUGAUUUUUUAGUAAAUAUUUAAGUGCCUGUUUUCUGGGAAGUACUAUGCUCAUUUAAUGAGGUAGGUAUAGCUCAGAAAUCCCAUUGACUUGCCUUGGAGAUUAAAAAACAAAAGAAGGCAAAAAAAAAGUCAUGGUCCUUUUAAUUUAAUAUGAUAUUUCCCCUAGUUCUGGAUAGUCUCAACUUCACAUGCUCAGUGACCUAAAUCAAAGACUGUUAAAAAGGCUCAGGAUUUCUCCUUUAAUUCAUUAAGUUUCUGCUUCUAUUAUAGUUUAAGACAAGAAACUAAGAUGAAAAAACUGGUUUUAAAAAUAUUUGCUCAUUGGCCUAGCUUAGAGUCAGGAAGCCAGUUGAGCAAUAAACAUGAUUUUUUCUGUAAACAUUUAUUCACUUUGAAUAAAGUGCCAUCCUUACCUGUGAGGAGAGUUAAGAGAUUCCAAAGACUAAAAUGCACUUUCAUUUCACUAGCUUAUGGUUGAAACACCAAGAACAAAUUUUAUUACUGAAGGUCUUUCAUUGAGUAGCUGUGAUAUUAAGACACUGAGAAGGAAUGAUUAAAUAGGUCACCUUCUCUUUGACAUGCUUUGUAGAGUGGGAAUGAGAGACCUUAUUUAUUUUAUUCAUGCAAACAUUGAAGAAGAUG